CGCUUUCCUGUUUGUGUCGAUUUCAGGGUGAGGAUGUCCUGUUGUCCUCGAUAGCGCAAUAAAAGGCCACCGCGGUGACAGGGGAGCUCUCUGGACGGGCAGAGCAGCCAGCCGCGGCACGUGUGGCAGGAGCGACGACAUCUGUAAUAAAGCCGGCAGCAUGGAGCACCACAACGACUCGCUGUUUAUCGACUUGGGCCACAACUCAUCCUACUGGAUCCACUACCACUGCACUCUGGAGCUGAGUGUGCUCGGGCAGCAGCUGACCAGCUUCUUCUUGUAUCUCUUUAUCUUUGUGUUCGGUCUGAUCGGGAACACCUUGGUGAUCUGGGUGAACUGGAAAUGGCGCAACACGGACAAUGUGGUGACCUUCUGUGUCCUAAACAUUGGCCUGGCCGACUUGGGUCUGGUCCUCACGCUGCCCUUUUGGAUGGUGGAGGUGAUCUUUGACAGUAUUUGGGUCUUCGGGAGGACCCUCUGUAAACUGAUCCACUUGAUUUUCCUGGUCAACAUGUACGGCAGCAUCUUCAUUGUGGCGUACAUGACGGUGGAGCGCUACGUGUCCUUUGUGCGGCCCUCCGUUGUGGGCAGUCGGCGGGAGAGGCUCCGGCGGCUGGUGGUCUGCAUCACCCUCUGGUUUUUUGCUCUGUUCCUCACGCUGCUGGAGAACGUCCAUGUCGAUCUUUAUGAAUUUGCGGGACCCGGGUGCCUGCCCAUCCCUUUGUACAGUGAAAUCGAGUGGUACAUCAGCAUCAGCUUUCUUUCCAUCAUCUUUGGCUUUGUCGUCCCAGCCGCCAUCAUCAUCACUUUCAACUUUCUCAUUGCCCGAAAAGUUAAGGCCAGCUAUGGUCGCGAUGGUAUAAGAACGUGCUGGAUCGUGCAUGUCUACUCCCUAGUCUUCAUUGCCUGCUGGUUCCCUCGGCAGCUGGUGCUGCUGCUCAUCACUUUGGAUGACCUGAUGUUCGGACUCUACAGCUGUAAUGUCAUCAGCUUGCUCUACUACUCCUUCCACAUCCUCGACUGCUUCUCGCUGCUGCACUGCGUUGCCAACCCCAUCUUCUACAACUUCCUCAGCAAAGGGUUUCGCAGCAGCCUGGCCAGCGCGGUGGUGCACUACCUGCCCAAACAGGCCGCCAAGCGUGAGGGCAACGGGUCAUCGGGCAGCAGCAGGAGUCACUCGGUGGUCAUCUCCUAACAGCAGACGUGGAACGUGAGAACCCGGCCAGCCUGUGUGCUGUGCCCCCUGCCAAGCUUUGCCACCAUGGACCCCUUAAGGUCUUCUGUACCCUCUUGUGCCCACCUUACAAAAAAAAAAUAAUAAUAACAACACUGCUGACCCCAGCGAGUGAAUGAUGGCAUGAGAGGAGGAGUUCGGCCGCAAUUUAAUGGGACAGGGGUUCAGAGUUUUUCAACAAGAAAGGGAAGGGGGGGCAUUUAAAGAGGUACUGGAUUUAAGAACCAUCACGGUCCUCCAACACCUCAGGUCAGAAUCUUCCAUUUCUGAAUCUGCACAGGCGUGUGAGGGCUGAUACUUGUGGUCCGCUGCUUCAGUGUUGGACCAGUCUGGGUAGCUUUAACCAGCCCGCCUGUACUUUUACAGGUGCCAGAGUGCAUGGGCGAUGCCAUCGGGCAGGGGUGUCCAACUCCGCCGUGGCUCCAAGUUUUUCCUUCCUGUAGCUCUCUUAGUCGGUGACCAGAUCCUGCUAUUAAUGGACUUCGUCCCCCUUCAUUUUAUUUGCUGUGCCUUUGAAGACUCCGAAUUGCUGCUUUCUUUUCCUUAAACGGCCGCCAAACAGAACUAAGACGUGAAGCUCUGAGCAGUUUCUUCAUUAUUGUUAGUUUAAAUCCGUUGUUUAACUUUCACGCUGCCCCACCAGACAUUUCCAAAACUGUUGGUUUUUGUUGUUCUAAGAUCUGCUUGAAAACGGUUUGUAGACCAGGGGGGGUAUUUUUCGUACGUGGAUUACUCGUUUAGCCGGAUGUAAUUGUUGACGAUUUGGCCUGAUCCUGGAUCUGUCGGUUUUUCGAAACUCUUGCUGGAUGUGUCCAAAUGGUUUGUUCUGUGUAAACAAGGAUUAGCUCACACCCUUAAUCAGUGUCCGUGCGUGGAAUUCACUCAGUCAUGACUUCACCUUUCAUGAAUGAGCGACCAUUUGAUAUCGGUACGCAAAUUAUAAGAAGAGAAUUUCAUUGUUUCGGGUUAAAAAGAAUAACAAAAAAUAAAAAAUAACAUUAAGAUCACUGAAAAUUAGUCAAACUUUUAUUGUUAUAUCCCUUUACUUUUUAUGAUUUUUCUAAACAACUUGCACAUUGAAAUGUGUUUAUAUUGUCUUUUACAAUCACGCCCGAAUUGUUGGAAAUAAAAGCGCAGUUCUAAGUGAGUCUAAGUUCAUUGCUUUCUUCACUUAAAUUUUUUACUUCCGGUUGAAUUUUUUUAAAUUUAAAUUUUACAUUUUUACUUUCGUUUGAAAUCCAUUGUUUUAAAGUAUUUGAGUACUAUGGAAAAUAAAAAGUUGUUAUAUUCAUGUAUUAGCAUAAAUAAAUAUGAAAACUUAUACAUUUUAAAUUUAGUGUAAGCAGCAGCACAAAUUCGGUAUGCCACGCAAAUAGUUAAAUAAGGGCACAUGUAAUUGGCUCUAUUCAAUAAGGGCGCGCACAAAAAGGCGAGCUUCAAAAGAGCGACCUUAAUUGGGCGCAGCGAAUAAGGGCAAACGCAACAAAAUUAUUACAGAAAAUUUAUUAGAUAAAGGCAAUGAUUGAACGUAUAAAAAGGCGAAUGCAAGAAUAUUAAAACAUCCAAUUAAUUAACAGCAAUGAGUAAGAGCAGAAAACAACGAAAUAUAGACAGCUUUAGAAAUAGUUCGUUAGAAGUUCAUGCAUUAAUUAAUUGGAUGCCCUUAUUCGCUGCGCCCAAUUGAGGUCGCUCUUUUGAAGCUCGCCUUUUUGUGCGCGCCUUUAUUGAAGGAUACCCAUGUGAACUGGUAGGAAAAGGGGGAGAAGGAUACACAGGGACAGCCCGCGAUCGGAGCAAGGGGGGCACCUGACCAUUUCUUUUGUUAGAGAGGCCUCUCGCCUUGUUUUGAGUUUCUGUGAGUCGAGCUGUGAGACGAGGUCAUCCUGCCCUCCGAGGAAGCAAGCAGGCAAACUUUGUUUUGAGAAAUGCAGGAGCAAUUUAUUGAGUUAUAAUUAGGCAGUCCAGUUGUCAUACAUAAUUAGGCUGUGAGAAUGAAGGGAGGGGUAAUCAGGUGAUGCUUCUUGCCAGAUGGCAAAGAUGUCCUGCCAACAAGAAUGUUGUUAUGAGAAGGUCUGGGACAUCAGGGGAUUAUUAUGGGUAGAGGUGCUGAGUGGGGAAAACAUCGUGGGAACCUCCAGAGUGGAUCAGUGGUUAACAAACUUUGGGGUGGGACCCCUUAGGGGGGCGCGAAGAUGUGAAAAAAAGAAAAGAAGAAUCGAAAAUAUGAAAAAUUCAUCUAUUGAAACCAAAACAAAUUAACUUAAAAUACAUUCUGAUACUAGAAAAAUAAAUAUAGUUAGAUAAAUGUUGAUAAAAGUUAAGUAGAUAUAAUAAAAUACGUAUCUAUGAUAUAUCAUUAAUUAAAAAGAACAAAUUGGUAUUAGUGGGCUCCUUUCAAAAAAACGUUAGGGGGGCGCGAUUAAAACUGUUAUGAAAACUCGGGUCACAAAUACUUAAAGGUUGAGAAACGCUGCAGUAGAUGAUGGGAAACUAGUCUGGAAGGGGGGCAUUUUGAGAUAAGAACUGUAAUGUAUUUGUGGCUCUCUGGACACUCGGGGCUCAGCUCAGUUUGGUCUAAUUGGGUUGAGUCCGUGUGAUUGUUUAUUUGCAAUAAAGCUAAUUACUCUGCUUGCCUGUC